rnacentral:rRNA from 1 species
GACGAACGCUGGCGGCGUGCCCAAUACAUGCAAGUUGAGCGCUGAAGGUUGGUACUUGUACCAACUGGAUGAGCAGCGAACGGGUGAGUAACGCGUGGGGAAUCUGCCUUUGAGCGGGGGACAACAUUUGGAAACGAAUGCUAAUACCGCAUAAAAACUUUAAACACAAGUUUUAAGUUUGAAAGAUGCAAUUGCAUCACUCAAAGAUGAUCCCGCGUUGUAUUAGCUAGUAGGUGAGGUAAAGGCUCACCAAGGCGAUGAUACAUAGCCGACCUGAGAGGGUGAUCGGCCACAUUGGGACUGAGACACGGCCCAAACUCCUACGGGAGGCAGCAGUAGGGAAUCUUCGGCAAUGGACGAAAGUCUGACCGAGCAACGCCGCGUGAGUGAAGAAGGUUUUCGGAUCGUAAAACUCUGUUGGUAGAGAAGAACGUUGGUGAGAGUGGAAAGCUCAUCAAGUGACGGUAACUACCCAGAAAGGGACGGCUAACUACGUG